UACAGAGGGUGCGAGCGUUAAUCGGAAUUAUUGGGCGUAAAGGGAGCGUAGGCGGAUGAUCAAGUGACAUGUGAAAUACCCGGGCUUAACCUGGGGAGGUCAUGUCAGACUGGUCGUCUAGAGUAUGGUAGAGGAAGGUGGAAUUUCUGGUGUAGCGGUGAAAUGCGUAGAUAUCAGAAAGAACAUCGAUGGCGAAGGCAGCCUUCUGGGCCAUUACUGACGCUGAGGCUCGAAAGCGUGGGGAGCGAACAGG
rnacentral:rRNA from 1 species